CAAGCGCCGGCUUGUCUCAGACCAGACUUCUAGAUCCAGAAUUUUUUCGCUUGAAGAAAAAUCGGGCGAAACUGACAGAAAUCAAACUGUAUUCGCCGAAUCACGAAGAAAAUUGGAUUUUCUCACCGCGGAGACCACGCUGACGAGUCCGCGCUCAUGACUUCACCCCAGGUCAUUCGGACUACAAAACAACAAGUGGGCAGCGGCCACGUGUUCAACCUUGGCUGGAACACAUGAUGCUUUCUUCAAAAAACGCUCGCCGCCGGCUUUGUCUCCAACAACUUCGGCAACGCCAUGGACAUCAACCAGGGAUAUCGACAAUACUUUUUAUGGCCUCAACCAAUCGAAUGACAACAUUGAGCGGCAGAAACGGAAAAAUGAGUGAUGGCCUACCACCAUCAGUCACCAGGCAAACCAAUGCCAGUCGGCAAGUCGAAAUCUCCCCAAGGUUGUUGCAGAGAAGUGAGCAGGUCGAAGAGACGCCACUUGUCAACAGUGUUUGAGGACUUGGCAGACACCGCCAGUGCCAGGCUCUUGGUCAAGUUUUGAAACCUGCAGAAUACAAGAGCUCCUAUGACCUGAAGUAGGUUUAAAUGUAUUCUGCAUGCGACGAUCAAGACAAGUAAAGUGACUAGGUUGUGCAUUUGCCACAGAUAGGCGCAACAUCCUCCACCCACUUUUGCCUGAGAGCCCAAUGUUUUCAGUUUUUUUACACUGUUUAAAUUUAAAGUUUAAUGAAUAGUUAUGUGGGUGAAUUUUGUUAUUUUUACUACAAAAAAUGUAUAAAUUAAGCAACUGCACUUAUGCCAAUUAUCUUUUUGUAAUGGAGUGGCGGCACCCCCGCAACAGAUACCGGUCCAACGGAGCGGACAACAGCUGAAGGCCGCCCCUAACAGGGGACGUUGCCCGCCACCGCUGGCAAUGCGUCGUCUGAAUGGCUUGUGUGUGAAUAAUGCCGAGGCAUCACAACCACCCAUUGAGCGUCUGCAUUCGCCAUGCGGGAACACGAUUUGGUGUCCAGGGCUUGGUUGCGACUAAAGUCCUGUGUCUGAACGCAUGGGAGGUGCGGAGAAUUCAGAUGACACUGAUGCUGACGUGGUGCACUCAUGAGAUUGAGUUGUCAUGAGUGUGGCAAUGGGCGUGAAAGAGGUUGGGUUCGUUGUUGGCACCCUUGUGUAGUCCAGUAUUUUUGGUCACGCCGGGUGCCUCCUCGAACACCUUCCACGUUGCGCAACCGGGAGCCCCUGCCCCCGAACAAUAGCUGGAAGUGAGUCUCAGUACCGCGGAUGUCUGCUUCAGUUUGCUGGGAUGUCAAACCACUCCACUUUAAUACUUCUUUAUUAAAAAUGGCCAAAUAACUUAUUAAAACUAAAUGCAUGUGUCUUUGAACUUUAAGGAUGGCUUUUGCAUGAACAGUGAGUGAAGUGCAAGUGGUUAUUUUUUAUUUUUUACCAAAAAAACAAUCUAAACGAAUCUUAUUUAAACUGGCCAAGUCAAAUGUAUUGUUCUCUUGUAACUUUUCCAAAAUUGGAGUGAUGAAAGAUGAUUUAUAAUAGGACCGCAUAAUGCAGAAAGUUUCUGUAUACAAGCUAAUGAAUGAUUCUGAAUGCGCAGCAAACUAAAUACAAUUUUUUUAAAUUCCAUCAUCAAAUUUUCUGGCCAUAUCUUUUGUAUCGGAGAAUAUGAAUGCAAGGAUUAAAAAUUUGAAGUAUUGAGCAGCUGCGGCGCAUGAAAAAAAAUGAUAAUAUUGAUUGUUAAUGCUUUGUACCCGGAAUAUUAAAUGUGACAAAAUCAGUUUGCUAAGUGUUCUAAAAACGGACUGAAAUAUAAUUUCUUGUUAGAUAAAGUAGGUAAAAUGCAUGUUAAUAUAAAUAGUUAAAAUAGUCUUGUAUUUUAAAAGUGACCAAGUGUUAGUGAGAAAAGUUCAGUAGUGCAUGUGAAAUAGUUUAAGUGUUUGGGGGUAACACAUUUUUAUUAUUAGAUUUUUCUUUAAAGUGAGAAUAAUUUUGGAAGUUCUUUAGUUUAUUUCCACAGAUCCUGCCUGAGCGUGUCAGCUUGGAAGGGCGGUUUUGGCUUCAGCACCAAUGGUCUGACCCUCGGACCGCGAUGCCUCCUUGGACAACAGCGUGCGAGGACGCUUGCCAUCUUCACCCUCAGCUUUUUCCAAAAACUCUGGAAAAGCCGUGACCGACAGCCAGACGGACGUCUUUGAAAAAAAAUUCGGUCAUCAGGCGAACCAAUGCCUGUCGGCCAGUCGAAAUCUCCCCAAGGUUGUUGCAGAGCAGUGAGCCAGGUCGAAGCAAAACGCCACUCGUCAACAGUGUUUGAGGACUUGGCAGACACCGCCAGUGCCAGGCUCUUGGUCAAGUUUUGAAACCUGCAGAAUACAAGAGCUCCUAUGACCUGAAGUAGGUUUAAAUGUAUUCUGCAUGCGACGAUCAAGACAAGUAAAGUGACUAGGUUGUGCAUUUGCCACAGAUAGGCGCAACAUCCUCCACCCACUUUUGCCUGAGAGCCCAAUGUUUUCAGUUUUUUUACACUGUUUAAAUUUAAAGUUUAAUGAAUAGUUAUCUGGGUGAAUUUUGUCAUAAAUUUUAUUACAAAAAAUGUAUAAAUUAAGCAACUGCACUUAUGCCAAUUAUCUUUUUGUAAUGGAGUGGCGGCACCCCCGCAACAGAUACCGGUCCAACGGAGCGGACAACAGCUGAAGGCCGCCCCUAACAGGGGACGUUGCCCGCCACCGCUGGCAAUGCGUCGUCUGAAUGGCUUGUGUGUGAAUAAUGCCGAGGCAUCACAACCACCCAUUGAGCUUCUGCAUUCGCCAUGCGGGAACACGAUUUGGUGUCCAGGGCUUGGUUGCGACUAAAGUCCUGUGUCUGAACGCAUGGGAGGUGCGGAGAAUUCAGAUGACACUGAUGCUGACGUGGUGCACUCAUGAGAUUGAGUUGUCAUGAGUGUGGCAAUGGGCGUGAAAGAGGUUGGGUUCGUUGUUGGCACCCUUGUGUAGUCCAGUAUUUUUGGUCACGCCGGGCUUGCCUCCUCGAACACCUUCCACGUUGCGCAACCGGGAGCCCCUGCCCCCGAACAAUAGCUGGAAGUGAGUCUCAGUACCGCGGAUGUCUGCUUCAGUUUGCUGGGAUGUCAAACCACUCCACUUUAAUACUUCUUUAUUAAAAAUGGCCAAAUAACUUAUUCAAACUAAAUGCAUGUGUCUUUGAACUUUAAGGAUGGCUUUUGCAUGAACAGUGAGUGAAGCGCAAGUGGUAAUUUUUUUUUUUUUUUUUU